UACGUAGAAGGACUAGUGUUAUUCAUCUUUAAUAGGUUUAAAAGGGUACCUAGACGGUAUAAUUAGUCUUUAAACAGGAAACGGUUAUAACUAGGAGUUAUAUAUGAGGAGGUGAGUAUUUGUGGAGUAGAGUUGAAAUUCUUUGAUACCAUGAAGACUGGUAAAGGCGAAAGCAACCUUUUAUCUAAUAACUGACGUUGAGGGACGAAGGCUCGGGUCGCGAACAGG
rnacentral:rRNA from 1 species